rnacentral:lncRNA from 1 species
CGAGUAGGUAUCUUCUCUUCUCUAUAGCCAAAGGGAUCUUUUUAAAACAGAAGUCAGGUCAGGUCCAUCCUCGAUCAAAAUGCUUCAAUGGCUUUCUGCCUCAUUCAAAAUCAAAGCCAAUACUAGGCCCUACUUGAUCCAAACUCCCUCAUCCCCAACCUUCUGCUCAUUUCCUGCUAUUCAUCUUCUCUCUCACUCUAUUCCAGCCUUCAUUCACCUCCGUGUUGUUCCUGGAAUGUGUCAAAUAUGCUGUCACUUUCAGGCCCUUAUAAGUACUGCUCCCUCUAGCUGAAACAUUCUUUUCCCAGAGUCAAAAACUUUUCCUGACCACUCAUUAUAAAAGAGCAAUCACCCUAACCCCUGGCACCCUAUACCCCCUUUACCUGAUUUAUUCGCCUCUAUAGUACUUAUUACCACCCAACAUAAAUAACAUAAAUUUACCUUUUGGUGA